CUUGUAUCAAGGCUGCUGCAGUAUUCACCUAAUCUACGUUGCAGUGCUCUGGAGGCAUGUGCUCACCCUUUCUUUGAUGAUUUGAGAAACCCCAAUGCCUGUUUGCCUAAUGGACGAGCGCUACCUCCUUUGUUCAAUUUUACAGCUCAAGAGUUGGCUGGUGCGUCUGCUGAACUGCGCCAACGUCUAAUUCCAGAGCAUUCAAGAAAAGAAGAUUGUUGAACCUGGAGUGGUAAGAUAUGUAGGAAAUGCAACUCAAUUUUUGGAUGCUCAAAACCCCAAGGCAACACAUCCUGCCUGCUGCAUUAGUUAAGGCACAACCAUCGUACAAUCCUGUUAUAGCUGGUUAAGAUGGAAAAUAGGAGAGUUUUGGCAAAUUAACGGCUAGUCAGAGAGACUAUGAUUUGGAUUCAGUGAAUGAGGGAGGUCAAUGAGGUUCCAACUUCCAAGAUUUAAUUUAUGUUUGAAUGUGGUGUGUUGUAAGGGAGUGAAUA
rnacentral:misc_RNA from 1 species